rnacentral:lncRNA from 1 species
AUCCACAGAGUGAAGUUUAUUCCCAACAAAGUUUCCCUCCCCCCUCCCCAGCCCAGGACAGGGACAGACAGGCCGGGGCAAAGAUGAGGCUCCAGUGGGUGGCUAAGGGACCUCUGAGAACAAGGAGGGGCCCUGGCCCCCCAGGCCCUGCCAGUCUGGCUGCCCCCAGCCAGGCUGAGUCCUCUGCGCCUCCUGCCCAGCCUCGGGAGGGGGAGGGGCGCUGGCUCCUGGUAGUUCCAAAGUGGAGUGUGAAAAUAGAUAUAUAUUUCUGUGCAGUGGGCAGUCCGGCGUGGCACUCACACCUCUGUCUGGAAGUCGCCGUCUGGCGGUUCUGUGGGCUCCCAGGCUGCUGUCCGGUGCAGGGCCAGCCGUUCUCGGGGCUUGGGGGGCAGUGAGCCCAGUGUCAUAGAUUUGAAGGUGCUCCAGCUUUGAUGCCUCCUGUGCUGGGACAAGCCAGGGCGUCCCCCGGGGGGGCUGGGUUUCUCCUGUGAAAGGAGCAGGGCGAGCCUGUUGCACCCUCUCAUCCACUGUACAGAGCAAACCACGGAUGUCCCAGGAGGGUCAAGACUGCCCAGUGUCAGUGAAUGAUCAGGCGUGAGGCACAGUCGAAUACAGUUAAUUGCCAGACCCUUAUUGACAGCUACUGCAGUGGUGACCCCUGAGGUCGUGUCUCCUGUCUGCCCACCCUUCUUUCUAAUAGUGGGAGAGCCUGUUAGUGUCUGUGCUCUGAGGCACCUUCCCACCCCCCAUGCAACCCUGAAACUGCUGUUCAUGCAGGCAGGCCCUUGGUGAAGCUGAAGUUAUCCAGGCAAGUGAACUGAGCAGGAGGAAGACAGCAGGUCCUCAGAGCCUCAUCCAGGAGGACCUCAGGAAUAUAUGUACCACUCCCCCCACAUCUCCAAGUGAGAAGGACACCCCUCAGGUACCAUGAAUAUGGUGGGGUGGUCAGGGGCAGCAACAGAAGAACCCUCACCUUGGCUGAGGACUGGCUACGGUAGCGGUCGAAAGUGUGGAACUUCUGGUUGAGUUCGUGGUAGAGUUCCGAGUGCCGUUUCCGAGUGUGCAUCACCUUCUAGGGGCCACUUGGGUGUCAGAGGAGUGCUCCCUGCCCUCUGCCCUGCACCUGUUGAUCCCUCUGGGGCAAGGCUAGGGCUUCUCUUGCUCUCCUCUGCUAGCCUCCCCCUCCACCCUCUCUCUGUCUCUGUCUCUCUCAUUCCCUGCCUCUAUCUCUGCCUCACAGUAAUGGGUGUGAGCCAGACAGUGGGGUAGAUCCCAGGGAAUCCGGAGGCUUGGUGGCCCAGGACUGGGCUCUGCAAUGGGGCUUGGGAUAAUUUUAGGAAUUGACCUUGUAGAACAUACCCUCCCAGUACCGGCACUCACCUCAAAGUCCAAGUCCGAAUACCGAAGCUUCUUUCGCUAUAGAGCAACAAGCAGGCCAUGAGAGAGGAACUUGUCACAGGCAACCUUGGCCUCAGGACUCUAUGGCACCUGCCCCCACCCAGACCCUGGAGUUGAGAAUCCUUAUCUUAUGGGCUAGCCCUUGGGGUCACAGCACAGUAGCUGAGGUUUGUCAUGCACAUAUGUGGACACAGACACGGCUCAGCUGUGAAGAGGCAGGGUUCCCACCAUGUCGGAUCAUACAACCCGUGCUUAUUCACUGUGCCCUGGAUUCUAGCAUCCUCCCUGCUCCAUGCUCCUCCCCAACCCCCCACCCACCAUCUCCCUGGAAUCCUGCACUUGCCCUGAAAAACAAAUUGGGGCUUUUCACACCUAGCCUAUGUGUCCCCCACCUUGCCUCUUUUGACUGCCUGCUUCUUUGUGCUCUUCUGACCCUCGCCUGGCCAAGGUCACCUUCAAGGCCCCAACAAGCUCGGUGACAUCCAAUGCCACUCAAGGAGGCUUCAGUCUUAGAACGCUGGCAUGGAGAAAACUCACAAGACCAAGGCCACCUGUUCCAGCUAGGUGGGGAAACUGAGACCCAGGGAGGGAAGGAGAAGGGACUUGCUACUUGGCCCCAGGCCCGCAGAGGUGAUGUUAAGAGCAUGUGCGUGGAUUUUGUUAAGACCCAACCUGACUCCACUCUCUCGGUUCUCCUCCUGCCUUCUAGCCUGCUCUGCCUCCAGUCUUCUUUCCCAUCACCAUGCUUUGCCUAUCCCUAGCUUCGUCUCUAUUUCUACAGGCAUUCUUACCCAUUAGUGCUCAGGGGCUCAGCAGACCCACACCUAUGCCUCCACUGGGUCUGUCCUAUUCUAGACACUAUCCUUGACCCCUCAGGCUUCUGCCAUUGAUGACUACUUCCCACACAAGAAGCCAAGCACUGGCCCCUCCCAUGUGGUCUGGCCACGGGCAGGUGCCACAGAACCAAACCUACCCCGACACUAAUCACACUGCCUCCCGUCACUGAUGCCAUCUCUGUUUCUGUCGUCUUUUCUGUCUUUGGGGACGCCUCUCUGUUUUAUUGCCAUCUGUGUGGCAGGAGCAGGCACCAAAUGUUCGAGGAACAUUUUAGGCACAAAGCUAAACUGUGUGACCUCUCUAGCUGCUAACUUAAUUGUCUUUGUGCAGAGAACAGGGGGCAACUUUUCCAGGCUAGACACAAGCAGCUAAUUGUGUAGAAGCUGGGACUUCCAACCUCUUUCCUUAGCCACAUCCCCCUCAUCCCUUCAAUUAGAUUUCUAGAAUACCCUGGAGUUCUACUUUGGGCUUCUACUAAUCUAUGUGUCCCCAGCGAUGAUCUGUAAGGGACAGGGCAGAGGAGACAGAGGGGCUUCUAUUUUCCCACCGGAGGCCAAGGACAGCACCCUGAGUCAAUUUCUGUGAUAACAGCAUCUUCCAAUUUUCUGGCACUGUCUACUUAUUCCACACAGGAAUCAAAGACCUAUAUCACCCCAUUCUGCAGGCUAUCCCCACUUACACACAGGAAGCCGAGGCUCAGAGAGACGGUGCAGUGUGGUCAACAGCUCAUUGCUGGUCAGCAACUCCAGACCUGACUCAGAGCCACAGGCUGCAGAGGCUGAAGAGGCUCCGCCUCUUCCUUACCAAUUGGGCACCUGAGCCAUGGUUGCAGUAAUGGAGGACUCACCCUGACCAGUCACCCCAGAGUGGGUACCAGAACUCUAAGUGAAUGGACUCAUGAGGCUUCACCCAUUUGAAACAUUCAGACAAUCCAGACUUUCCUGGGAGCUGAGCUCUGUGAGCCCCGGCAGAAGGAAGGAUACACACUGGUAUGAGAGCCCCCAGCACUGCUCUGGGGGAGACUGAUAGCUGUCCCUUCCUGACUGCAGCCCAUGACUUAGACAUGAUGUCAGGUACACAGUAGGUAGAUUCCCCUCCCUAUUUUCCAUAGCCCCUCACCUCAAGGGAGCCCAGCUUCAUGGUGGAACCAGGCACUGUACGGGGCAUGGUCCGGCUACGUUCUCCUGGCUCUGGUACUUGGCGGGCGCUGGGUGUUGGUGGUGGUGGUUGGAAGGUCAUUCCAUACGGGUUCUGGAGAGACCCAUAGGCAGGGCCCAGCCCUAGACCCGAGUGCUCCACAGACAGGAAGCUGGGGUAGCCUUCAGUGUGGGCUACCGUUUUGGCAGCCCGCCGGGGGGUCCCCUCAGGCCGGGCCCUUGGGGCCUCCUCACCCGCUGUACCCCCACCACCAGGCUGCAGGCUCAAAGUCCGCCGGGGCAGAACCAUGUAGUCCCCCUCAGAGCCUGGUUCACUCUGCCGUAUCCAUGUAAGGUCCAACUGCCGCAGGCCACCCUCAGGACCCACGAGACAGGACUUGGGCUCCUCAUCCUCAUCCAGAGACAGGCGGGACAGAGUGCCGGUAAUGGUGGACGGGUUGCAGGUGUUGACCUCCUUGAACAGAACUGGGGACAGAAGUGGGAGGAAAGGGUAAGCCCUAAGGAAGGGAGACCCCGUGGUGAGACCCUCUUGUCCAGGUUUGGCUGGGGCCUUAGCUUCUGAGCUUGGGCAGUGAGGGAAACUGAGUUCUGAGGAGGCGGUUGGUACUCGCCCAUAUACCAAAGGGACCAGAAAGACAACUGGCUCAUGGCUCCAAAAGAUGCAGAGGUAGGAAAACCAAAGCUCAGCUUCCAUGAGUGCCCUGGUACACGUCCUAACUUCUUCCCCACAGUCCUGAGACUGUGGAAGGAAGCAUUGCUCCUCUCUGUUCCCUAGGGAAGGAUAUACCUUAGAGAAAAAAUGGCAGGCAACACCAGUGAAAGCCUCUGGACUGAUGGAAGAAUGCAGCAGCCAACAUACACCGAGGCCCCUGCUGUAAACUCGAUGUCCACUAACUCAUGUUAGCCCUGGGCCUCCCUCCUGACCCGAGACGAUGCUAUUUUUCUCCCUUACAGGUGGAUAGCUGAGGCUUAGAGAGGGAUUUUUUUUUUUUUUUUUUUUGCCCAGAGGCAAGUGAUAAUUGGCCUUCCCAGAUGUAAAUAUAACCUGUUCCUGUCUAAUGUCAAAACAGGACACUAGCAGUCUGGUCCCCAUCAGGGCUACUAUGACAGCGUACGGGGCGUCUUGUCUUGCCCACGCCUACAGCUUCUUAAAUCAGUCCAACAGACUCACCUGUCUGACAAGCCAGAUCCACGUCCUUUUCAAAGUCUGACUAUAGGUGGAGAGGGAGAGAGCAGGUUGGCAGAGGGAGGAGAGAUGUGUCAGGGUGGGAAAGGCUUAAGUUCUUCCUCCCCAGCUCCUCUGUCCUCCCACCUGAGAGGUACCACCCAACAUGGCCUCACACUGUAGGGAGCAAACUGAACGGGGGUGGGGGGAGCCUUUGCCCAGAGCCUCCUCGCAGUCAGAAGCUGAGCGUAACUUGAACCCAGUCUCUGUCUCAGAUGGGAUGGGGAAGGUAAGGAACUUAUGGCGGAAGGGAUCUGCUUGGGCCUCCUCGCUCACCAGGAUCUGCAGCUGCCCGUUCUUGCACGAGUCUGGGGAGUCUUCACUCUCAUCAGCCCGACACACACCCAUCUGACACUUUACCACAUCCUGGACCUAGGGGCAGGAAAUGCCAGCUGAGCCUGAAGCCCCCAUAGUACCCCCACAAUAGUGGGCAGGGUUUCCCACCCCAGGUGUCCAGACUAGAGGUAGAAGGAGAGACAGGGAUAGGCUGAGAUGUCAGGGAGGAGAAACUGAAGGAGACCCAGGCCUUGAGGGCUAUCUGAGCUAUAAGCGCCCUCACCAAGGGCCUGAAGCACCCUGGUCACCCUGUACCACACAGUGGAGGAGAAGCCAGAGCCCAGCAUGGCGGGUGGGGGGAGGGUGUGGCAAACAAGAAGAGCCUAGCCACCUCUCGGCGCAGGAAGCAGUGCACAGCGGUGAUGACAAAGCCUUGUGCAGAGUUGAAAACGGCAAAGAGUGCCUGGAAGAGGACGGAGCGGCGAUCUGUCAUGGCCAGGACGGCAGACAUCCAGGUAAGCGCCAGGAGAGGCAGUACCACGCAGGAACUCCAGAGUGAAGCCCUGAGAGGGACAGCAGCGGAAGGUCUGUCAGCGGGACACUCUGCAGGACAGGAUGGUGGGAGCCUGGGUCUCCACUCAGCUUGGGGACUGGCAGGGCCCCAGACUCGAGGACCUCAGGAGUGUUUCCAAGCAGAGAGGGGCCAAGGAACUUGGGGGGUGGGAGGAAACAGAGGACAAAGAUGGAACUACAGGGCCAGAGCAGGGGCCAUGAGAGGUAGGAGGGGUGGACACACAGACACAGUGGGACUCAGCAGGCACAGAUGUGACACUGGGACGCAGAGGUGAGGAAGGCGGAAACAGGAGGGAACCAAGGGCAGACAGUAGCAAAUGGGGGUGGGGGGGGGGACGUCAGGCCCAACAUGCACCUUGGAAGCUUUGGAAAAAGACACAGUUGAGAGCCAUAUCCCCAGAGAUUCCAAGACAGUCGGCUGGGGAGAGAAGGAGCAAAAGACCAAAGAAAGGUGACCACCACGGUAAGAGGAGUAUGAGACAGACAGACGCCCAGACAGCAAGACUGAACAGGCAGAGCAUGUGGAACACCACAGCACAAAUCCUUGUAGAGAAGAUGGGGCCAAGCCCAGCCAGGUGGAGGCGUGGAGGAGCCGCUGGCUCCUGAUGGUUGCUCAGAACCCAGGGCAAAAGGGUCGUAGCCGGGGUCAGAACCACGCCCACGAAUCCCUGGCCUCCUUACAGAGAAAAAAAGGCAGGCAGGCAGUGGCCAACAGACUGGUCUCCAUCCCCAGCAACUACUAUAGCCCAUGAGGAACAGGAGAUAGAAGGAGCCACACCCAGCCCACUCUACCACACCCGCAGCACCCCCUGUGGAGAGUCAGGCACAGCUCCAGACAGGGCAGGGUGGCACCAUUCUGCAGAGACAGCCAGAGGCUGAGGCAGAAAGAUGGGUGGGCAGGGGCCCAAGGCCUGUCCUGUGAAGAGAGGUUCAGGGCUGUUGAGCCAGGCAAGGUUGGGGUGGAGGAGGCACAGUGUCUGUCAAGCCCUGGAGGCGGAGCCAAGAACCAGAGAUGCUCUAAUCACAGUAAUAAGAGCUGCCAUUGAUUAACCAGCAAUUUUCUGCCAGGCCCUCCACUGAACACUUUACAUAGAUUAUUUCAAAUUGUGAUCAAAACAACUCCAACAAACAGGCCGGGGGACCAGUAUCCCAAUUGACAGAUGAGGAGACUGGAGUGUGCCCAGCUGGACCGGGAGAGGAGAGCUGGGACAAAAAUCCAGCUUGGCGGCAGACUCUGAGGCCCACUCUUUGAUCUGCUAGUUCAGCAGACUGGGCAUAGGGAUGUGGUAGCCCAAAGCAGAGGGAUGUCACGCUCUGUGAGCAUCACGGAGCUCCAUAGCACUAGACGCCUCCACAGGACCCCUGGGGAGUGUGACAAAGGUGUGCCCCCACUGGUUGGGGUGACUCAGGUGGACUUCCAGCCCUGGUAGGAGGAUUGAACCUUUGUAAUCAUCUUGAAUAGCUGAGGUUUUAAGAUUCCUAGCUGCUAGGUUGGGGUGUCUCAGUGAAGUGAUUGUCUCCCUGUAUGAUUCUGCCUGUGAUUGUGAGGUCCAAGGCCUCUGAAAUUCAAGUCAGAUUCUAUGACAGAUAAGUGUGUUUCAGUCAUUCGAACACUCUGAAGUGUCUGAUUGUCUUAGUCGAAGAUUCUCCCAUUCUAAAUUGAAAGUUUUAAUAGCUCAAAAAUUCUAAAGGACUACGAUUCUCAGGGCCUUGAGGUUGGUGGGGGGGGGGGUCUGCAGCUGUGCCUGUGUAGUAAGUAAAUUAAGCCAGAGCCGGGGCAGGGACCAGAGGGCAGGGUGAGCAGGGCACCACAGUGCCCUAUGGAGGGGGGGGUGUCCCAUUGUCCUCAGCCACUUCAUCCCUGAGCUCCAGGGAGCGUACAGCAGUUCGGGGGGCAGGGGCAGGGCAAGCUCUCCAAGGCACUGGGCUGAUAUCCCUCCCAAUCCCCACCGUGGGCACUGCCCUCCCAUUCCUUAGCCCCUGCCCGCCCCCACCGCCCCCCAGGGGGCACAACUAACAUGGCAUUCCUGGCCGAGGCUGAGCUGAGCAGGGGGCUGGGGACCGCUCCACACGCUGAGCAGGGAAGGAGCAGGCUGGCCCAGGGGCACCGCUCCGACCUCGGGGGGGCGGCACAGACACGGGAGAAGGGGGAAACACAUGGGAAACCGGGAGAUGGGGCAGAAUGAGCCCCGAGAAGGGUGGGAGGGGAGGGCAGAUGAGAGAGAGAGAGCUGGGUUAGGGUGGGCGAGGGUCUGCCGCCGAGCACUCCGGGUGCCCACCUUGCCUGCACCCUUGAUGUCCCAAGGUUGGGGAGCCUGGGUUGGCAUCAGCAAGCCCUGAGUCUCCGAGGUGUCCUCGGCUCCCCCUCCCCACAUGCCGCCCAGGAAGGCUGAGUGACUGAGACCCUCCCCUUACCCAGCCCUCUGCUUCUUAGAUUUGUCUGAGACGCCAUCGCGAGCCAUGAGCUUGUUGAAGACGAUAAUCCCGAUGAGCAUGUUCACCUGGGG